rnacentral:rRNA from 1 species
ACUCAAAUGAAUUGACGGGGGCCCGCACAAGCAGCGGAGCGUGUGGUUUAAUUCGAUGCAACGCGAAGAACCUUACCUAGGCUUGACAUGGUCGCAGUAGGAACCCGAAAGGGCGACGACCCGUAAAGUCGGGAACGAUCACAGGUGCUGCAUGGCUGUCGUCAGCUCGUGCCGUGAGGUGUUGGGUUAAGUCCCGCAACGAGCGCAACCCUCGGCGUUAGUUACCAUGUCUAACGCGACUGCCGGUUUCAAACCGGAGGAAGGUGGGGAUGACGUCAAGUCAGCACGGCCCUUACGCCUAGGGCUACACACACGCUACAAUGGCCGGUACAACGGGACGCUAAGGGGUGACCCGGAGCAAAUCCCAUCAAAGCCGGUCUCAGUUGGGAUUGCAGGCUGCAACUCGCCUGCAUGAACGCGGAGUUGCUAGUAACCGCAGGUCAGCACACUGCGGUGAAUACGUUCCCGGGCCUUGUACACACCGCCCGU